CGCGGCCUAUCAGCUUGUUGGUGAGGUAAUGGCUCACCAAGGCGACGACGGGUAGCCGGCCUGAGAGGGCGACCGGCCACACUGGGACUGAGACACGGCCCAGACUCCUACGGGAGGCAGCAGUGGGGAAUAUUGCACAAUGGGCGAAAGCCUGAUGCAGCGACGCCGCGUGAGGGAUAACGGCCUUCGGGUUGUAAACCUCUUUCAGCAGGGAAGAAGCGAAAGUGACGGUACCUGCAGAAGAAGCGCCGGCUAACUACGUGCCAGCAGCCGCGGUAAUACGUAGGGCGCAAGCGUUGUCCGGAAUUAUUGGGCGUAAAGAGCUCGUAGGCGGCUUGUCACGUCGGGUGUGAAAGCCCGGGGCUUAACCCCGGGUCUGCAUUCGAUACGGGCUAGCUAGAGUGUGGUAGGGGAGAUCGGAAUUCCCGGUGUAGCGGUGAAAUGCGCAGAUAUCAGGAGGAACACCGGUGGCGAAGGCGGAUCUCUGGGCCAUUACUGACGCUGAGGAGCGAAAGCGUGGGGAGCGAACAGGAUUAGAUACCCUGGUAGUCCACGCCGUAAACGGUGGGAACUAGGUGUUGGCGACAUUCCACGUCGUCGGUGCCGCA
rnacentral:rRNA from 1 species